rnacentral:rRNA from 1 species
GGGAACUGUGAGACAGGUGCUGCAUGGCUGUCGUCAGCUCGUGUUGUGAAAUGUUGGGUUAAGUCCCGCAACGAGCGCAACCCUUAUCCUUUGUUGCCAGCGGUCCGGCCGGGAACUCAAAGGAGACUGCCAGUGAUAAACUGGAGGAAGGUGGGGAUGACGUCAAGUCAUCAUGGCCCUUACGACCAGGGCUACACACGUGCUACAAUGGCAUAUACAAAGAGAAGCGACCUCGCGAGAGCAAGCGGACCUCAUAAAGUAUGUCGUAGUCCGGAUUGGAGUCUGCAACUCGACUCCAUGAAGUCGGAAUCGCUAGUAAUCGUAGAUCAGAAUGCUACGGUGAAUACGUUCCCGGGCCUUGUACACACCGCCCGUCACACCAUGGGAGUGGGUUGCAAAAGAAGUAGGUAGCUUAACCUUCGGGAGGGCGCUUACCACUUUGUGAUUCAUGACUGGGGUGAAGUCGUAACAAGGUAACCGUAGGGGAACCUGCGGUUGGAUCACCUCCUUA